UUCCCAAUUCCAUCCUGUUUCCAUCUUUCUGUCACUUAACCAAUAGAGUCAGAGAACACAAGCUAUGCUACUUUGCUUAAGCACUCAUCCUAGAUCAGAAUCUAGAGUUGAGGAUAGUAAAUAGUGUCUAUCUAAUCUCUCUCUCUCUCUCUCUCUCUUGUUUGGAUAACUUGUUUUGUCUUCAUUGAAUUCUUCUCCCUGCAAUGCCAGGAACCAUCCUGGUUUCAGUACUGGAAUUCAUGGAUAUACCAUUAUCUCCAUCAACAUCCAUAAGGGCGGUAAAUGAAUGCAGUUUGCUUGGGAAAAAUAGAGUACCAAAUCAGUGACAAGGGAAACUUUUCCUUCCCCAUAACGAGCCUCCGCGAUGAUUUAAUUUUUAAAAUUCAGGAUGCCGAGGGCAAGGAAAUAUCACAUACAGGUGUUGAAGUUAGGUUGAUAUUAGAAAAAGGUGUCUGGGAAGACAUUUUUCCCCUUGGGGUGGGGCAUCUGCAUUUGAAGUUGCAAUUCAUCCUAAAUGAUGAAGAGCGUGAUAGAAUUCGUUCAUUGAGACAAUCUGCAUUGAAGAAAAAACACGAUGAGCUUCUUAGUAGCAGUACAAGAGGUGCAGAAAAAAGUGACAUUAGUACUACUGUUGGCAAUGCUGCAUUACUCUUCCCCCCAAAUGAUGAGGUCUCAGAAUCACCAAAGAAACACCUUCAAAGCGAAGCAGUUUCUCAAUUGCAAGAUCCUGUUGAUCUCGGUAAUGAUAAAGAAUCUGAUACUAGAAAUGUAGUAGGGACUCAGCUUGACCAGAAACAGCUAAAUACAAACAUUGAAGAUCAACAUAAAGAGACCUCAUCCACAAAAGUAUCACAAGAAGUUAAACUCACUCAAUUACAACACAAGGAUAAAAAGCCAGCCAAUCAGUCACAAUCUAAGAAACAUCCUCAAGGAGCUAUUGGUUCAGAAGAAAUGGCAACAUUGUUAGGCUCAGACAAAAAGGAUGUCAGAAAAAGUAAUCUGAUACAACCUAAUCUAGAGGAAGAAGGUCUUCAAUAUUCUGAGAAGAAGACUCCACCAGAUAGAACUCCCAGUAAUGUGAGGAAAAUGAUAAGUGCUUUUGAAAGUGGGUUGGCUCAGGAUAAGAGAUCUCAUAUUAAACCACCUCCAACAAAAUAUCAAGCAAGUAUAAUUGAAAGGAAAGAUUCUUCCAAGACUCAGCACUUGGAGCAAGAUAAGUCAAGGACCACUGAGCAGGCAGAUUUCUUGCAAGAAAGGAAUGCACCAUAUCUUGCAACUGGAACUGAAGGGAGCAAGGAUGAAAAGAUAAAGGAAAUUAAAGAAUCAAAGACCAAGACUUCUAAUGAUAAUGGAGAUGAAAGUUCUGGAGGACCGAUUAAUCAGGUUACAAUAAAAAUUCAAGUAGAAAUUCUUGCUUGUUCAACUUUAAAUAUUAUUAGUGUUAAUCUGGGAAAAAUAAUCACUGUUUUCAUAUUUGCAGCACUGGCCCCAAGUUAGGCAAUGAGUUUGUGCAUGCAAUGUCGCAUAUAUCUAUCCUGUAUUUGGAUAUAGUAGUUCAAGCUUAAAUAGAAGUAGAAUAGAUUGCUAUUUCUCAUUUUUAGUAAUAUCCUGUUCUCAACUAUUGUUGAAGAAUGCUUAUAUCUGCCCCUUUUUCACAUAUUCAUCUCCCAGGUAAUAAAAGUUGCAAUCAUUAUAGGGUUUGGAAUACUUGUUCUCCUAACCAGACAAAGAAAAAGAAGAUAGGAAGUUGUGGGAAAUCAACAACUGACAUCACUUGUCACACGUUUACAAAAUACAAACAAGCUUUCCUUAGAUGUUCAUGUGGUUUUUGGUUCUAAUCUUCUACCCCAAUUUGAAUUCUCUCAAUAAUGAAGAAGAAGACUGCCUGAGAAUUAAUUCAACAAAUUUCAAAUUCUUCAUUUGUUGAAGCACAUACAUGUGAAGGCUGCAGUCAACAACUUUCUAGUAUCAGAUAGUAGAAAAUCUGUAAAGUUUUCCAUGUUAGAGAUUGAAGCAACUAAUUAACCUAUGUGUUUUCUUAAUUACAACCAGCACAUUUAGUCAAUUUAUUAAAUUCAUGACAAAGUUAGCAUAUGAGACCUUUUUUGUAAAAAAAAAAAAAUAGUGACAGGUUUAAUCAAUUUUAUUCGUACAAAUUUGU